rnacentral:rRNA from 1 species
UACGAGAGUUUUUAACUCAAGUGGCGGACGGGUGAGUAACACGUAAGAAUUUGCCUUUAGGAGGGGGAUAACAACUGGAAACGGUUGCUAAUACCCCAUAUGCUUUCGAGUGAAAUGGAUUUUUCCGCCUAGAGAGAAGCUUGCGGCUGAUUAGCUUGUUGGUAAGGUAAUGGCUUACCAAGGCGACGAUCAGUAUCUGGUUUGAGAGGAUGAUCAGACACACUGGAACUGAGACACGGUCCAGACUCCUACGGGAGGCAGCAGUGGGGAAUUUUCCGCAAUGGGCGAAAGCCUGACGGAGCAAUCUCGCGUGAGGGAUGACGGCCUAUGGGUUGUAAACCUCUUUUUUCAGGGAGGAACAAAAUGACGUGUACCUGAAGAAUAAGCAUCGGCUAACUCCGUGCCAGCAGCCGCGGUAAGACGGAGGAUGCAAGUGUUAUCCGGAAUCACUGGGCGUAAAGCGUCUGUAGGUGGUUUAAUAAGUCAACUGUUAAAUCUUGAAGCUCAACUUCAAAAUCGCAGUCGAAACUAUUAGACUAGAGUAUAGUAGGGGUAAAGGGAAUUUCCAGUGGAGCGGUGAAAUGCGUAGAGAUUGGAAAGAACACCGAUGGCGAAGGCAC